rnacentral:lncRNA from 1 species
CAACUUUUUCUUCUUGAGCUUCACUAGAGUCAAUUUCUUGCUCAUUUUUGUAGCCAUCAUUAAUCAUAGGGUCACAUUUAAAAGUAAGUACUUGGCCAAUUUCUUCUUUUUCUUCUUCUUCUUCUUCUUUAAUUGUGUGAGUAUUCAAUGCCUCCACCAUAAUAGCUUCAACUUUGGAUUUCCAUGUGUCAUCUUUCUUCUUAUCUUUGUCUUUCUCCCACCAUUC